GGGGGUGAGAUACGAGUGAUAAGGAUCCCAUAUGAGACUUGAGCUGAUGCAUGCCUACAUGUAAGUGUUGAAAAAAAUAUCUCAAGAUUCGAUCUAUAAUAAGACAAGAAUGAGAUUUAGGAUGACAAAUGGAGUCCAACGAGCCUAAGAAUAGUCCAAAUAGAGUCCAGACGAUGAAGAUACAUACGAAGAAAGUCUGAGAGUAGAUGGUAUGGCCCAUGGGCCAUUGGAGGGGCCCACGGGCUGGUGCAGGCCGACG
rnacentral:lncRNA from 1 species